UAAAAUUUCAGCUAUUAUUAGUAUCGUGGGUACCUUGCCAUGGGACAUUUAUUCUACUAUUGAUCCUUUUAAAUGAAAUAAAAGGUUUAUGAAAGUAUAAUAUUCAUCCAAAGAAUGGGCAUGAAUCAUAAAUGCAUAGCCAGGUGGAAAUAUCCGUGUAAACACCAUUUGUUUUGAGGAACAGAGUGUUACCAUUGUCUGAGCCCUCCAGCUAGAAGUCAGGAACACAUUUGUGGUUAAGGAAGUGGAGUCUUGUUGCACUGAGGAAUAAUGCUCAGUGGGUGGCCUUAAAAACACUUUCAGGAGCUGGGUAAUGUUGGCUCAUGUCUGUAAUCCUAGGUCCUUAGGAGGCUGACACCUGAGAAUCCUCAUUUGAAGCCAGUCUGGACAGGAAAUUUUCUGAGGCUCUUAUUUAAUUGACUACCAAACGAAAGUUGGAAGUGGAGCUGCGGCUCAAGCAGUAGAAUCUGAAGGUUUCUGUUUAUUCCCACAGCUCUUGUGUUAAUCCUAACCCUGAAGAUGUUGGUCUUAGUCUAUGGAGCAUUUAUGAGUUCGCUCAGUGUCCUAAUAAAAGAAGCCCAAGUAGACGACUCAUCCCUUCCACCAUGUGAAGGACCAGCUAGAAGCACUAAAGCACCUCUGUAACAACACUGAAUCUAACAGCACCUUGAUCUUGGACUCUGGGCCUCCAAAAGUGGAAGUAUGGUCAUUUCAUUCUUUCUGGUGGCUGAAUGACAGUCCUGUUUGUGUAUGUACCCCCUUUGAAAAUUCACUCAUCCCUUCAUGCUCAUCCUGAUUCUGUAUGGUGGCUAUUGUGACUCAUACCUCUGUCAACAUGGAAGUGUCCAUCACCACAUUGCUGACAAGUGUGCUCUCAGAUGACCAAACAGCUCUGUAACAGUGAGAAGGUGAUUGACUGUGUGUAGAAUCCUGUAGGGACAGACUGAAAUGCAUCUACUCAACGAGCUGGCCAGGAGAGAAGCAAAAUGAAGGACUGUGCUGGAGAGAAGAGUGGAGGAGCAAGUGGGGAGAGCUGGUUGAGGCAAGCCCCUAUAUGUCAGACUGGGAUGAAGCCUGGGCAGCCUGGUGCAGGGAGGCUGGGCUGCUCCUGCAGGGGAAGGGGUAUUAUAGUAGCA